GCCCCUAUAGUUGAAAUCACAACAAGAGCUUUUCACGCUCUAAGUUUGAGUUAAAACCUCAAUANGAGCU
rnacentral:tRNA from 1 species